CCUACGGGAGGCAGCAGUGAGGAAUAUUGGUCAAUGGACGCAAGUCUGAACCAGCCAUGCCGCGUGCAGGAAGACGGCUCUAUGAGUUGUAAACUGCUUUUGUACGAGGGUAAACGCAGAUACGCGUAUCUGUCUGAAAGUAUCGUACGAAUAAGGAUCGGCUAACUCCGUGCCAGCAGCCGCGGUAAUCCGGAGGAUUCAAGCGUUAUCCGGAUUUAUUGGGUUUAAGGGGUGCGUAGGCGGUCGGAUAAGUUAGAGGUGAAAUCCCGAGGCUCAACUUCGGAAUUGCCUCUGAUACUGUUCGGCUAGAGAGUAGUUGCGGUAGGCGGAAUGUAUGGUGUAGCGGUGAAAUGCUUAGAGAUCAUACAGAACACCGAUUGCGAAGGCAGCUUACCGGCGCUCAACUGACGCUCAUGCACGAAAGUGUGGGUAUCGAACAGGAUUAGAUACCCCGGUAGUC
rnacentral:rRNA from 1 species